rnacentral:misc_RNA from 1 species
GAUGAAGAACGUAGCGAAAUGCGAUACGUAAUGUGAAUUGCAAAUUCAGUGAAUCAUCGAGUCUUUGAACGCACAUUGCGCCCCCUGGUAUUCCGGGGGGCAUGCCUGUCCGAGCGUCAUUGCUGCCCUCAAGCACGGCUUGUGUGUUGGGCCCCGUCCUCCGAUCCCGGGGGACGGGCCCGAAAGGCAGCGGCGGCACCGCGUCCGGUCCUCGAGCGUAUGGGGCUUUGUCACCCGCUCUGUAGGCCCGGCCCGCGCUUGCCGAUCAACCCAAAUUUUUAUCCAGGUUGACCUCGGAUCAGGUAGGGAUACCCGCUGAACUUAAGCAUAUCAAUAAGCGGAGGA